AAUAGAUACCCAGGUAGUCCACGCCGUAAACGAUGAGUGCUAAGUGUUAGAGGGUUUCCGCCCUUUAGUGCUGCAGCUAACGCAUUAAGCACUCCGCCUGGGAAGUACGGUCGCAAGACUGAAACUCAAAGGAAUUGACGGGGGCCCGCACAAGCGGUGGAGCAUGUGGUUUAAUUCGAAGCAACGCGAAGAACCUUACCAGGUCUUGACAUCCUCUGACAACUCUAGAGAUAGAGCGUUCCCCCUUCGGGGGGACAGAGUGACAGGUGGUGCAUGGUUGUCGUCAGCUCGUGUCGUGAGAUGUUGGGUUAAGUCCCGCAACGAGCGCAACCCUUGAUCUUAGUUGCCAGCAUUUAGUUGGGCACUCUAAGGUGACUGCCGGUGACAAACCGGAGGAAGGUGGGGAUGACGUCAAAUCAUCAUGCCCCUUAUGACCUGGGCUACACACGUGCUACAAUGGAUGGUACAAGGGCUGCAAGACCGCAAGGUCAAGCCAAUCCCAUAAAACCAUUCUCAGUUCGGAUUGUAGG
rnacentral:rRNA from 1 species